CCAGAUGGAACAGCUACUGUAUGUGAGAUUGAGUUUCUCACCAGAAAAGUCUUUGACUGCCUUCUAAAAGUCUUCAAAAUGCUCUUCUAGAUGCUCCUGGUCACUGGUACACAAUGAUAGCUCUGUGGGCACGCUGCUCUUACAAUUCUUGUAUUAAUAAUAAUAAACCUAUUUACUAAGGAUGUGAUGGGAGGAUCAGCAAUGAAUCGUCUGCAGUUUAGUCAAUGAGACCUGCUCCUCCAAGAACCGAGAAGAAGGAGGAAUCUUCCUGGGAGCUGGAAUCAGAAAGACGUUUAACUCUUGUAGAUAGUUCACAUUCCAAUUCUGAUCUGUCAUCUGUGGACCGUGGUCUGUGGGAAGAAAGAAUAUGAUUAUUGUGUGGGACUGAACAAAUUCUGAUUUCCAAAGGUUCAUAUAAGCAACAGUUUUAUAUAAUAACCUAACUUCAACUAAGAAAAUAAAAUGGGUUCACCUCAAUCUGAGCAAACAUCAUCUAAAGAGACAUCUGAGACAAGCUACCAGGUCUUAGCAUCUAGUGUAGUCCAGUACAUCUCUUUGUGUCUGUACUGUAAUAUUGUGAAUAAACCAUUCCAAACUAUUGAUGUUGCUUAAUUUUCAAAAAUUUCCUGUUUUAGACAAUUUUCUCCAAUAGUUUGUAUCAGCAUUGUUUUUUCAAUGCACUAAUGUAUUAUUGCAUAAUGGUUAGGACAUCAUUUCCUAUUACUACCCUUUGAAAAUAUCAUAAGAAAAAUGAGAAACAGAAUAUUCUUCAGCACUUUCAUAAAAAUCAUAAGUAGGUCAUAUGUUUUAUCUUGAGCAGUGUGUUUUGAACAGUAUUGGAGGGAUGUGUUAGCACUUACGUGAAUUUUAUAUAAUGUCAUGUAUAUGCUACUAAUAUACUGUACUGUAAGAGUUGUUGUCACGUUAUAACCUCAUAAUAUGACUAUAUCCUUCCUGAUAGUAAGUCCAGAAGCAGACAGUGGUGAGGCCACAUAUGGCCUCAUAGGAAGACCAGCUUGGCUGUAUGUUGCUGUGAGCUGUAUUAAAUAAUCUGGGCUUAUCUCGCUCAUUUAUUUGCAAUUAACUAUUCAUGUAAAAUUUUGUAGUUUAAUAAUAUGGCUCAGGUUUACACUCUGGGUGGAAGUGCUGACUUUCAUCAAGUUGUGUGCCAUUGACCUCUAUAGACUGGGUACAGUGAUGAGAAGGACAGAACAGUGUCAUUAAGUGAAUAUCAACAAAGGGAUCUUUGUGUUAAGAUAUCAGGACAGGUUUUAUGAGCUAACAGUUAUACAUAGCAAAGCAGCUUCACACUGUGCAGACAAGGCAGCCAGCAACAUGCAUCAAUCCACAGGAGAGCAGUCCUCAUUAAAGGUCCACUAUUACCAAUACAGUGAAGUCUUAUUGUAAUAUAACAUGCAAGCCAGAAAUUAUGUGUAUUCAUAUUUGAAAGGAUAACAUUUAGAAAUGCCUUAAAAUGAAAGUUACAUAUAGUAAACUGCUAGAAAAAUAAUAUCAAAUACAACCAAUACAUUUGACAAGACAAGCAACUAGGGAUAAAGUGUAACGUUUUAUGACAUUAUAUUCAAUUAUUUUUCAAAGUUAGAAACAUAAAUUAAAAGUACGAAUACAGGUUUACAUAAGAUAAAAGAUAAAAUAUACUAAAAACGUAGAAAUUUUUUAAAAAUUAGAUUUUGUAUACAGUGAUCGCAUCUUCCCAUUUAUUAGGAUUGCUGCAGAGUGGGUGUU